rnacentral:lncRNA from 1 species
AGCAGACCUAGCUGGCCAGCGUCGCUGUCACACCCCAGCAGCCCCCGGCAAAGCAGGGCGCACCUGGGGGGGGCGGGUGGCCAGGACCCGGCCCGCCGCCCCUCCGCCCCGUCCGCGCUGCACCGCGGCCACCAGCGCUGCCCGCCCCACAGAAAGGGCAGGGCACAGGGGCCGCCUCUGCCGGAAAACUGCGUCGGGGACCCUCGGCCGGGGCUGAGGCGGGGGCCGCCGCGGGGCCGCGGGUGGGGGCGGGGCGGGGCGUUUUCCAGAAACCAGCCAAAGCCCCACACCAUCGGGGGUCUCCCUCCAGCUCCGGUCCACUCCCUCCCCCCCAGACACGCGUUACACAACCUGUCAGGUGCGGGGCGGGAGGGUCCCAGGACGCAGACCGCGGCGGGCCCGGGGUCGCUCCUUCCGGCCUCUCCGGUCGCCGGGACGCCGCGGCCGGGGGCGGGGGGCGGCGGGCGGCGGGGGGCGGCGGGGGGCGGGAAAGCCGCAGCCGAGGGGCGGCCGGCCGGGACGCGCAGGCGGCGGCGGGGCGCUCACCGGGUCAGGACGGGGCGCUGGCAGGGACUGGGCAGAGCCGCAGCACCCGACGCGGCGACGGCAGCGCCACCGGCUGCUUUCUGGAGGCACAGCGGAUUCCGCGCCGCCCACCGCCCGGUGUUUUCAUACAAACCCCGGCGGCAGGCGAGGCUGAGGCGACGGCGACGGCGACGGCGACGACGGCGGCGGCGGAGGAGGCGGCGGAGCAGGCGGCGGAGCAGGCGGCGGCGGCGGCGGCGGCGGCGGAACCUGCCCGCAUCCCGGCAACGUCAACGCGGCGCCCCGCCCACCGCACGCCCGGGCCAGCCAGCCGGCGCGCGCCGGGCAGCAGGCAGGGCGGAGCGCGCGUGCGCGUGGGCCGUGUGGGCACGCGCUGGGGGGAGGGCGGGGCGCGCGCGGGCCUGCGCGGGGAUGGGACUCGGGGAGCGUGCGCAGGCGUUAGGCGCUGGGGGUCGGAGGGGGCGCGGGGCGGCGGCGGGAGUCGAGGGCGGUGGGUGGCCCGCGCCGCAGGCCGCGUUCCUCCCCUGGGCGUCCGACGGAACCGAAGCGGUUCGCGGGCGGCUCCCCAGUCUCUGCGCUUCACCUUCCCGUACGGUCCCAGUUUCCCGGGACUGGGCGGGCGCGCACCCCCGCUGCCAGCAGUCCCCCCGCUCUCGGGACGCUGCCAGCCCCCCCGGAGGGGCGGCUCUUAAUUCUUCCGCGUGA